GAGUGGCGAACGGGUGAGUAACACGUGGGUAACCUGCCCAUCAGAAGGGGAUAACACUUGGAAACAGGUGCUAAUACCGUAUAACAAUCGAAACCGCAUGGUUUUGAUUUGAAAGGCGCUUUCGGGUGUCGCUGAUGGAUGGACCCGCGGUGCAUUAGCUAGUUGGUGAGGUAACGGCUCACCAAGGCCACGAUGCAUAGCCGACCUGAGAGGGUGAUCGGCCACAUUGGGACUGAGACACGGCCCAAACUCCUACGGGAGGCAGCAGUAGGGAAUCUUCGGCAAUGGACGAAAGUCUGACCGAGCAACGCCGCGUGAGUGAAGAAGGUUUUCGGAUCGUAAAACUCUGUUGUUAGAGAAGAACAAGGAUGAGAGUAACUGUUCAUCCCUUGACGGUAUCUAACCAGAAAGCCACGGCUAACUACGUGCCAGCAGCCGCGGUAAUACGUAGGUGGCAAGCGUUGUCCGGAUUUAUUGGGCGUAAAGCGAGCGCAGGCGGUUUCUUAAGUCUGAUGUGAAAGCCCCCGGCUCAACCGGGGAGGGUCAUUGGAAACUGGGAGACUUGAGUGCAGAAGAGGAGAGUGGAAUUCCAUGUGUAGCGGUGAAAUGCGUAGAUAUAUGGAGGAACACCAGUGGCGAAGGCGGCUCUCUGGUCUGUAACUGACGCUGAGGCUCGAAAGCGUGGGGAGCAAACAGGAUUAGAUACCCUGGUAGUCCACGCCGUAAACGAUGAGUGCUAAGUGUUGGAGGGUUUCCGCCCUUCAGUGCUGCAGCUAACGCAUUAAGCACUCCGCCUGGGGAGUACGACCGCAAGGUAAGGUUGAAACUCAAAGGAAUUGACGGGGGCCCGCACAAGCGGUGGAGCAUGUGGUUUAAUUCGAAGCAACGCGAAGAACCUUACCAGGUCUUGACAUCCUUUGACCACUCUAGAGAUAGAGCUUCCCCUUCGGGGGCAAAGUGACAGGUGGUGCAUGGUUGUCGUCAGCUCGUGUCGUGAGAUGUUGGGUUAAGUCCCGCAACGAGCGCAACCCUUAUUGUUAGUUGCCAUCAUUUAGUUGGGCACUCUAGCAAGACUGCCGGUGACAAACCGGAGGAAGGUGGGGAUGACGUCAAAUCAUCAUGCCCCUUAUGACCUGGGCUACACACGUGCUACAAUGGGAAGUACAACGAGUCGCGAAGUCGCGAGGCUAAGCUAAUCUCUUAAAGCUUCUCUCAGUUCGGAUUGUAGGCUGCAACUCGCCUACAUGAAGCCGGAAUCGCUAGUAAUCGCGGAUCAGCACGCCGCGGUGAAUACGUUCCCGGGCCUUGUACACACCGCCCGUCACACCACGAGAGUUUGUAACACCCGAAGUCGGUGAGGUAACCUUUUGGAGCCAGCCGCCUAAGGUGGGAUAGAUGA
rnacentral:rRNA from 1 species